rnacentral:rRNA from 1 species
GUGGGGAAUAUUGCACAAUGGGGGAAACCCUGAUGCAGCGACGCCGCGUGAAGGAAGAAGUAUUUCGGUAUGUAAACUUCUAUCAGCAGGGAAGAAAAUGACGGUACCUGACUAAGAAGUCCCGGCUAACUACGUGCCAGCAGCCGCGGUAAUACGUAGGGGGCAAGCGUUAUCCGGAUUUACUGGGUGUAAAGGGAGCGUAGGCGGCAUGGCAAGCCAGAUGUGAAAACCCGGGGCUUAACCCCGGGACUGCAUUUGGAACUGUCAGGCUUGAGUGUUGGAGAGGUAAGCGGAAUUCCUAGUGUAGCGGUGAAAUGCGUAGAUAUUAGGAGGAACACCAGUGGCGAAGGCGGCUUACUGGACAAUAACUGACGCUGAGGCUCGAAAGCGUGGGGAGCAAACAGGAUUAGAAACCCUAGUAGUCC